rnacentral:rRNA from 1 species
UGUUGACCUCGGAUCAGGUAGGAAUACCCGCUGAACUUAAGCAUAUCAAUAAGCGGAGGAAAAGAAACCA